CAGAAAUGUGGUCUAUUAAUAAUGCAUGUUCUAUAUAGUAAUGCAUGUAAAUGUAUUACAGGGGUAUCUGAAGCAUCUUUGUACUAUUAUUUCUUAUGAAGCUAACGUUAUGUUAGUUCUUGCAUUUGUGUUGUACUAAAUGUGUUUAUUCUUGUGUUUUAGACAAAUGGAAUAAUUUGUAAAGCAAAGACUACAACAACCUGCUAUUUAAUGGAAACAUUUGAAGAGCAAGAAGUGGAUGAAAGUUUUAUGCUGCUGGAUGACCGUGGUUCUCAACUGGUCCUAGAUUAUCCCCAACAAUACACAUUUUUGAUGUCUUCCUUAUCUGACACCCUUUUACGGCCUUGGAGUCUCUCUGCUAACAAGCUGAUGGUCAUGGAGAAACUGCCUUCAAAACCCUUCCCGCUGUCCUGCCAUCAUCGCCAUGUCUCACAGAUGGGAAAAUGGUGCUGAAAUGAAGCACAGCUUAACUGACAAUCACCCUGUUGGCACUAAUACAAUGCAUUACCUGAGCAGUGAGAUAAGCCAGGAUCCACAUGACUUGAUGCCUUGAGGACAAAGAGAACUCCCAAGUUUAUGUAUAUUAUUUUUUUUUUUGGAUCCACUUCAAAUGUUGACUAUUAAGAGGGGUUCCUUCAACACUGCUGCCUCCUUAAGAACUUUGAUCAUCAUCAUUAGGUCCAACAUAUUUGUGGUUUUAUUACUUAAGGUAUGUUUACAACACAUCAAUGCAUACAAUGUACAGUGUUGACCCACAAAAUAGAACCGGAGUCCUAUUCCAUUAUUCCUACCUGUGGCCGACCUCACUGUGGACCUCAAGCGCCUGCUGUACACGUGAUAUGUUUAUUUAUUGAAGGAUUUAAUGUUAUGAAUUUAUGUGUACUGGUAGUUUUUCAUUUAGUGUUCAUUUUGUAUUUGUGUGUUCUGUAUAUGUGCAUAUUUUAUGUAUGUUUUGAGUUUACGUGGUUGCGAAGGUUUUAAAUACAGGUUUUAAUUGUGUACUGUUUGCAAAUUUAUAGGUUUUGAAUUUAAUAUUUACUGUACACUUUUGUGUAUGCUUUAGUAUAAUUAGGCCUACUACUAAAUUAAUAGUGAUUACCAUAAGAUUAGUUAAAAAAUAGUGUAAUAAUAUUUAAAUAGUGUUCAUUUUGAAUUUUUGUGUUCUGUAUACAUAUUUUAUUUAUGUUUUGAGUUUACUCUGUACAUGUUUGUGUAGGUUUUGAAUGUGUACUGUCUGUACAAAUUUGCAUAGGUUUUGAAUUGAUUUACACUUGUGUUUUGAUAAUAUGUACACUUAUAUUUACAUUAAAUGGCUCCACAAUAUUUCAUUUGUAAUUUAAAAUAUAUUUGUUAAAACAUAUUAUUUUAUACAAAUAAACAAUCUAGAAAACAAAGUGUAUUUUAUAUAUUAAAAUAAUGUCAUGAAUAAAAGUUAAUAGUCAUAGUUAGUAAAUAACCCAACAAGUAAC